AUGAACGCUGGCGGCGUGCCUAAUACCUGCAAGUCGAGCGAACAGACGAGGAGCUUGCUCCUCUGACGUUAGCGGCGGACGGGUGAGUAACCCGUGGAUAACCUACCUAUAAGACUGGGAUAACUUCGGGAAACCGGAGCUAAUACCGGAUAAUAUAUUGAACCGCAUGGUUCAAUAGUGAAAGACGGUUUUGCUGUCACUUAUAGAUGGAUCCGCGCCGCAUUAGCUAGUUGGUAAGGUAACGGCUUACCAAGGCGACGAUGCGUAGCCGACCUGAGAGGGUGAUCGGCCACACUGGAACUGAGACACGGUCCAGACUCCUACGGGAGGCAGCAGUAGGGAAUCUUCCGCAAUGGGCGAAAGCCUGACGGAGCAACGCCGCGUGAGUGAUGAAGGUCUUCGGAUCGUAAAACUCUGUUAUUAGGGAAGAACAAAUGUGUAAGUAACUAUGCACGUCUUGACGGUACCUAAUCAGAAAGCCACGGCUAACUACGUG
rnacentral:rRNA from 1 species